rnacentral:rRNA from 1 species
UGAGGAAUAUUGGACAAUGGGCGCAAGCCUGAUCCAGCAAUGCCGCGUGCAGGAUGAAGGCCUUCGGGUUGUAAACUGCUUUUGUACGGAACGAAAAGGCUCUGGUUAAUACCUGGGGCUCAUGACGGUACCGUAAGAAUAAGCACCGGCUAACUACGUGCCAGCAGCCGCGGUAAUACGUAGGGUGCAAGCGUUAAUCGGAAUUACUGGGCGUAUAGCGUGCGCAGGCGGUUAUGUAAGACAGAUGUGAAAUCCCCGGGCUCAACCUGGGACCUGCAUUUGUGACUGCAUAGCUAGAGUACGGCAGAGGGGGAUGGAAUUCCGCGUGUAGCAGUGAAAUGCGUAGAUAUGCGGAGGAACACCGAUGGCGAAGGCAAUCCCCUGGGCCUGUACGGACGCUCAUGCACGAAAGCGUGGGGAGCAAACA